rnacentral:lncRNA from 1 species
AUGCGCGUCAUUGGUACAAUUGGGUAAGAAAAUAAAUUGCUUCCAAGCUACAAACAAGUAACAUAUAGUGAUAUAUAUACAACUUAUUCGUUGUAUUAAACACAGGUAUGUAUCCUCUAAAAUCGGACGGGUUCUCCUAUGGUGUAACGCUCUUGCAAGUAAUAACUGGGAAACUACCCGACGCUGCCAUUGAUGUUUCUUUAAUCUUCUCUGCUACUGGUCCAUGCUUAAAACACAUUGAAAGAAAAAAAACAGAGCACACAUAUAUGGUUCUAACAUCGUUUUAGAGUUUUACAUUCAUCUAGGUUAAAAUUCUAGGAAAAGAAACUUCUGAAAAUCUCUUCAAAUUGAUGCAGGUAAGGAUGAAGACCUCGAUGAGGAAGAAGAUCUAACAUAAAUCGAUCUCAGUUUUCUGAAAGUGCACUAGCAGAUGCUAGACUGGUAAGUCCUUUUCUUUUGUGUUCAAUCAAUAUAGCUGGGGAUUGGAGGUGGACAUUUUUCUGUAGUAAUUUAACUCUAUGUUAAGAAACUUCAACAUUAGGUUUGUUUUAAUCAAUGUUUUUGCAACAAACAAUUAUAUCAGUGUUUAUUCUUUUUUUUUUUUUGUGCUUUAUUUACUUAUAUAAUAGAAGAUGUUAUUCAGGAUCCUUUAACUUAAUUUUACUUUUGAUCGCCUUGGAGUUUUAACAUCAAACUCAAAAUGAGUGUUCUUAGUAGGAAAAAUCAAUUGAUUUAGUUAUAAAAGGAAAUUGAAAUGACACACCUACUAUUUGUAUCAACCUGGCCAAAAAAAGAGGGAGAAAGAGGUUCCAUGACUUAGUUUGUCUUAAAUGUUGAUGCAAGUGAGAAAUAUCAAUUGUUGAUGUAUGAUUUAAGUCCUUAUAUAAAUCGUACUGAUACAUACUUAUAAUGAGUACAAAGUAUCUAAAACGGAUACUAUUCCAUUUUAAUUUUCUUUUUAGCUUGAUAGAACGUUAUUAAUAAUGUGUGAAUCUAUGAAGUGAUACUAAUACAAUUUUGAUUUAUUUUUUGUGUAUUUCAGGCUUUUUUGAUAUUCCUAAAUAUACCUUUUUAAGUGUUGUUUUGUGGAAUUCAUGUGGAUGGAUGAUGUAUGUCAUUAAGCAACUUCAGAGAAAGAAAGCAACUAAGGGGACUACAAUACCUAUCAUGACACCCAGUUGCAACCCAAGACAACUGUACAAUAGUGACAAGUCUGGAACAUAAGAUGGUUCUUGGAUUGACAAUACAGUGAAGAAAAGAAUGCUGUUGCAGCUCUUUUAGCCCCAUAGGCUAAGGUAGUAUAUUUAACUUGCAUAGUCAUCUUUUAUUUAGUUGUAGUUUGUGUUUGCUCUUUAGAUUUGUUUUGAGAUAAUUGUAAUCAUUUCUGUGUUGGAUUUAUAUAUGUUUGAUUCUUAUGCAUGAUGAUGGUGAGUAGUUUAAUAAAGUUUUUAUGAAACUUUUGAUAUUUCGUUUUGAUUAUGGGUAAGCAAAAGCUUCCAGAGAUUCACAGGAACACAUUGGCUUUUAGUUUCAUGUUGGCUUUUAGUUUCAUGAUGGGUUCAUGUUGGCUUCUAGAUUCAACUCUAGAUAAGUCAAUGAUAUUGUUUCAUAACAACAUGAUUUCUUCAUACUUCAAGAUGGAAGAUGGAUUAAAACUGAUUUUUGUUUUUUUUUUGAUGUUAAUGUUACAUUUUGAUUUUUACAAAGUUUUUUUUUUUGUUCUAAAUUGGUAAACAUCAGUGUAAUUCAUUGCUUAAUUUUUGUUUUUCUGUAAUGAAUAUAUCACCUUUUAAAUAAGAAGGCCUAUGCCUUUACCUGAAAUGAAGCCUCCAGGUUCCAUUCUUCUGAACGUAUAUAAUUUUUUAAGCUAACUCAAUGGGCUGACCUGACUCUCUUUCUAAAGAGGAGUUAGUCAUCACUUUAUGAAUCAGAAGAAGUUUGGAUUUUAUGUGCUUCAACUUACUAAUAUUUGUGGGUAAAUAUAUUUUGUUUCUCACAUGACUAUGCAAUAGAGAAAUAAUUUUCAGGAAAAAAAAGGACAAGCUGGAGAUGGGAAAAAGUCGUUGUGUUCAGAUGUCCUAUUAUGCUUCUUUUAUAUGAGUUCAUGCCAGGCUGAACAAUGUAUAUGACAGGGUGCAGUUCAGCAAAUUCUGCAGGGUACCCUGUCAUACACAUAAGCAAGGGAAGGAAGUAAGACUACAAAGGAUCAACACCACGACAGGAAUGUAGUCAGCAGCAAAAUAGGGACUGUCCUGGAGCCACAUAUGAUCAUUAAUGACUCAUACAUUAUUAUGUACUCACUAUUUUUGAGUUUGUUUAACUUUUUGGGUGAACUAGACACAUUCGAACUGAGAAACAUGUAGUCUUUAUAAGUC